rnacentral:rRNA from 1 species
UACGUAGGGUGCAAGCGUUGUCCGGAAUUAUUGGGCGUAAAGAGCUCGUAGGCGGUUUGUUGCGUCGGCUGUGAAAUCCCGAGGCUCAACCUCGGGUCUGCAGUCGAUACGAGCAAACUAGAGUGUUGCAGGGGAGACUGGAAUUCCUGGUGUAGCGGUGAAAUGCGCAGAUAUCAGGAGGAACACCGGUGGCGAAGGCGGGUCUCUGGGCAAUAACUGACGCUGAGGAGCGAAAGCAUGGGGAGCGAAUGGG